rfam:Solanum lycopersicum cultivar Heinz 1706 chromosome 6, whole genome shotgun sequence.
CCGACCUUAGCUCAGUUGGUAGAGCGGAAGACUGUAGUUGGUGAAAAGCCUGACAGAUAAUCUUUAGGUCGCUGGUUCGAAUCCGGCAGGUCGGA